GCCCUAAUUCUCACACAUCCCUCUCUUCCGCCGCUACCUAUCUCUCUCAACCUACAGGAUUUGUAGAAUCCCAUUUCCACACCAUUCUUUCUCAACUAUCCCUGCAUCACAUGGAAGAGGAGACGUCAAAGGAAUUAGAAUUAGAUCAAUUUAUUUUCUCAAGGAUACAUUUUAAUGGAUUGACGGUUCGAUUAUCCUAUCAAUUUGUAAUCCUUGUUCACUUUUCGGGAUGGGCGGCAUUGGAAAUAUUAUAUUUAUCAAAUGAGACGACAAACAUUAGAAAGACAACUCUUGCUAUAAGGUAAUAAUGUUCACUAAAUCUCAAGACUGAUGAAUUAUGAAUAUAUUAUUGCUCAAUGUGUUGUAUACAUGAAUGAAACUGGAUUGUUGCUGGAGUGUAUUUCAUGAAACUUUUGUUUUAUGAAAUCUCAACAGGGGAGCUUUCCAAAGCUUAUCUUCGUAAGCAUGAAGAUUGCUAGCUCGGAUUUUAGUUGUAAUGUUGCAAUCAUCAUUGAAAUAUAAAAUGUUUCCUACUAUAAUUUUUGUUGAUAAUUUAUCUUUAAUGAGUAGAAGUCAGAUUCUAUAAACUCUCAACUUAGAUAUAAUGUUUCUCGUAGCUUAAUUAGAAAUAUUACAUCUUAAUUUCGUGCCCCCCUUUACUGAACUUGCUCAUUCUACUUUUCCUGACCAAACAAAAUUAAUAUAUGCCAUAACUGAAAUUAAUGUGGGAUUUCAAAAUAUACGAAGACUUAAUUUAUAUUUUGAUGUAUAAAUGAAGUAGACAUUUUUUUUAUGUGGAUUUUUUUAUGAGCUAAUUCUUUUUUUGGUUCUAGGGGAUUAUUUGAAUUCCAUAACUGUUUUGGGCUUUUUUUAAAUUUCAUCCUCCUGUUACAUUUUGGUAAGUUUUGUUCAAUAUUUUGGCAUUCCUCUCUUAUUCUUUGGUUAUUGCAUAUUUUGUGUAGGUUUUUAGUCAUUUUGUAAAUUAGGGUUUAUGAUGAAAUUGUUCAAUUAGUCCGAUGAUUUGUUGUUUUGUUAAUUGUAACUGGUUUUUAUUGAUGAUAUGCAAGCAAUUGAUUCUAUAGGUUUGUGAAAUUCAUCCAAUUAUUGAAGUUGUGAAAUUCAUCCAAUUAGUGAAAGAUGAUUGUUGAAUCUUGAGAGUUUUCUUAAUGCUUGUUCACUUUUCAAGAAUCCCAUGUUGUUUGUUAAGUCUUUUGUCUCCAACUUUUAAAGUGGAAAAAAGGCCGCCGCAAAUGGAUCCACGCUAUGAAAGGAUUCAGGCUCGAAGGCGUCAACUAACCGAUAGAGCGCAGAGGCAUCGAUUAAGUCGUUUGUUUUCGUUGGAUACGUUUGUGCAGCGAGUGCGUGAACUUGAAGACAAAAUUGCAAACGAUGAACAAGAGCUGCAAAUGAUUUGUCAGAUCUUGAAGUCAAGGUCUACUUUAACGUUAUCGGGGAAUCGUGAGGUUGUUUUCUUCAAUGAAAACUUGCGACCCUAUUAUGGAUUAGAUGGAAACUUCAAGUUCUAGAGGGCAAUUGUGAUAUGGACCUAAAGAUCCGUCAGCUCUAUAUCUUCAAAAGAAACACAUAUCAAAUAAACUACUGACAGAUGACACAACACAUCUUUUCAAAGUUAGUCGGACGGAAAGUAAUAUAUGGGGUGUGGAUAUUCAUGCCAAUGUGAGGCAUUGGCUUAGCAUGUUUGGUUUCUGAGGCGUGAUGGAUUGUGGAAAGUCGAUGAAGGUCGACAGCGAGCUUAUCACUACUUUGGUUGAGCGCUGGAGGCCGGGGACACACACUUUCCAUCUACCGGUUGGAGAGGCGAUAGUCACCUUAGAAGAUGUGCAAGUCCUCUGGGGCUUGAGAGUGGAUGAUCGUGUUUUCACAAGCCGUAAUCAUCAUGUCGGAUAUACCGAUUGGCCCAGCAAGUGUCAAGAUUUGUUGGGAUAGAUACUCGAUACAGAAACAGAGACAAAGUAAGACGGUAUGCAAAUGACCGCUCUGAUCAAUCAAACUAGGAUACCUUUGGGUGAUGACCUACCUACUUAUGGUAAUGACAUACCUACCUAUGUCUAGAUUCAAAGGGCACGACGUAUCCAUGCCCUAAUCUUGUUAGGACUCAUUCUAUCAGACAUAACGGGGUGUAAGGUUCCUUUUAUGUGGGUGAAUGCAUUUGAGGAUCUGGAUGAGUUGCACAAUAUUAGUUGGGGAAGUGCAGCUUUGUCUUACUUGUAUCAUUAUCCGUGCGAGUCUUCCAUUGACAAGAGAAAAGGGUUGGGCGGGCCUAUAAUGCUUCUGCAGCUAUGGGCGUGGGAAAGAAUGUCCACAUUGAGGCCGUCGUUCGUAGUAGCGCUUGUGCACGAGCCGUAUAGGCCAUGUGGCGCCAGGAACUACUCAAAUACGAAAUGCUCCUAGAUUUUCGAUGGAGCAUUACCGAAUCAAAUAUCUUAGGCCAGUUUCUAUGGACACCAUAUGUGAAUUGCAUAUUGUUUGACUACUGCAAUGAUGUGAAUGAGUGUUCUCUGUGCGACGUGCGACACUUAUUUGGUAUGUUGGUUGUAUGUCGAGGUGCAUGAGGCUGGCCGAGUGCGUGGAUGCUAAAAAACACUGCUCAGCGUGUUAAGAAGGGUAAUAAUUGGAAAAACACGCAUCAAUUCUAUAUUUGGGAGUGAGACAUGAGGUAUGAAAGGUUCCAGGAAACCGUAGACACCGCAACGAUGUCCAUGAACAUUCCAUUGAGUCCGGGAUAUAUGGCGUGGUAUAACAGGAUUACAGUGAUAUACCUAACUUAACCUAGGGGUUGAGGCUCUUCAGCAGAUUUGGCAUUUGACUACUGAAUAAGAAAUGGACCCAAGAAUGCGACAGGUUCUAGAAAUCUCUAGGCAGGCCCUUCAGUCUAUGAACCACGCCGAUGUCAUGGAGUACCCUGCCUCCCAACACCAAGAUGUGGUCAUGCCUAAUGAACCAAAUGAUAAUCUACCACGUCGAGGAUUGAGGGGUGUUCAAAUUGGUGGACACGGUUACACAAAACAGAUUAGGAUGUCACAGCCGCAUCUCGAUUAUGUGUAGCUAGAGCCUAUGAAUCUAGAGAAUGACCCACCUCAGUGGUCUUUCUAUCCAAGCCACGAGUCUCAAUCACAAUGGGGUUGUUCCCUCUGUUCCCCAAGCCAACCUGAGCCUGAUUGGAGUCGUUGCUCCUAUUCCCAAAGCCAAAAUGAGCCGCAAUGGAGUGGAGCCUAGCAUCAGUCGAUUCAUUCUUGCAAAAUUUUAAGUUUGUGGCUCUUAUACGAGUUGAAGGAGAAGAAGAAAAUGAAGGAGGAGAAGAAAAAGAGGAAAAUGAGGAAGAAGAGGUUGUUCAGAACACCCAUGUCCAACCUCGACCAGUCGCGGAUGGUUCAUCACGCACCGGGGUUGGGAAGUACGUGAACAAAAUGAUGAAGAGAUUCUCAACCAGGAAGAACAAGUGGAUAAUACAAUUGAAAUACACCUCAUCGUCGUAUAAGUAGCUCAUUUUAGAAGGUUAUAAUGUUAUGUAUCUUUUGUGAACUUGUGUCUUUUUUUAAAAAACUUUGUAUUGGCUUUUUGUGAACUUAUUUUUAAAAAUUUUGUAUCAUUUUAUAUUGA